AACGCACGAGACCUGCGGACCUGCGGAGGGAUCAUUACCGAGUUUACAACUCCCAAACCCAUGUGAACAUACCUACUGUUGCUUCGGCGGGAUUGCCCCGGGCGCCUCGUGUGCCCCGGAUCAGGCGCCCGCCUAGGAAACUUAACUCUUGUUUUAUUUUGGAAUCUUCUGAGUAGUUUUUACAAAUAAAUAAAAACUUUCAACAACGGAUCUCU
rnacentral:misc_RNA from 1 species